GGAGCAGACACAGUGAACAUUGGAAUGUGGAGGAACUUCAGUGACUAAGGGAAUUACGCGACGAAGAAGAGAAGAAAGUUCAGAACUCGGGCGUGGAGAAUCAAUUCAGGAGGAACGGACAAUCUUAAGAGAUAGUCUAAGGACUUUGACACACAUACAGUUUACUGUUCUGUGUUGUGUGUGUGUGUGUGAGUGCGUCUUUUCUGCUCAUAUCCCAAGCUUGUGAUAUGGUGCCAUCCUGGCAGGACCCCCUAUGGAGCUACAACACAUCUGUCUUUCUAACGUAUCGUAGCCUCAGGGUUAGCACUGCCUUGCAGCUUUUAAAGAGCAACUCGGAGCAUGAUGAAUGCAAACCAUUCCUGAGUGUGGUUGCUUACGUUAGCUUCACGCUACGAAUCGGAAGACAAAUAUGUCUCCACAAAACCAACAAGUCCAGCUGCAACGUAUGAUGACAUUAAAUGAGACCCUGUUUUUUAAACGAUGGCAACAGAUAAAAAACAAACAAGCAUGCAAAGACUAUGACAACAGCUCCACUCACUCAUUCUCCACCGGUUGGUUUCUUCGAAGGGAUCAUGUGAACUUUCCUUUAUUCCCAGUAUUUUUCUUGUGUUGGCUGAAACUAGGUCUUGAACCUGUGAACAGAUCUAUUCUAAAACCUACACUCUAUGUAACACUCUGGAAGCAGGCCAUGGUUGGCUUAUGCAAACUGAUGGAAUAUUUUUUCAAAACCAUAUAUGCAUGUUUACAGCGCCAUGUUGAAUCGUCACGGCCCACUCUGCAUUUUUGAGUGUCGGUGGUUGUCGUGGUGAUUCCUAGAACAACAUGGGGUUGGUCUAUGGAAGCUCACCUUCCAUCCAACCUUGACCUUCACCCGCUGGGCCCAGAUGUAGCUCUCACCUCCCCUACCGUCUGUAAGACGGGGGCAACAGCUGUAGACAAACAGCUGAUGGUUUGUGUGUUCUACAAAAACACAAACAAAUUGGAGAAUUCCAGGCACGCUAGAUAUAAAAAUAUUUCAGAUGGCAGCAUGAACAUCACAGGUCACGUAAAGUUGAAAAGCCCUAAUUUCAUGGGAAACCCAGGAGAUGCUCUCCACAUGGACUUUGGGUUUGUACAUGUUGGGGCUUCAACCUAAUGAGCUUUACCUGUGAGCCCCUGCUGUGUGUGUCUGUGUGAGCGGGAAAGGUCACACGCUCCUUUGCAGAGUUACAUAAAGUGUAGGUGAUGAUUGGAUAGGCCUGUCGGAAAAAAGUAGGCAUGAUAUAUUUUUUACCCACGCUAUAUCCUUUUAACACCUCUACGUCUUGAGCCAAACGUCUAUAUUCAUUUCAAUUAAACCUUGAGUUAAAGUGUUAGGUUAUAGGUUUGUGUUUGAAACCCAAACCUAUAACCGCUGUCUUUUGCUGUCUUACCGCACAGCAAAACGAACCCCAGACAGAGGCAGUGAUAUACUGUAUAUACUCACACUAAACGUUGACAUUCAUGUAUGAAGUUGAGAUCCUUGGUUCCGGUUCAUUCCAGAUACCUACUCCUCGAAGGAAAUUCACUGUAACAACAAUUGAACUGAAAAACUAACGUAGCUUGUGUGUCCUUGGAAGAAAGGCUUAUUUUCUUAUGAGAACAAUCUUUAAAUCUUGUUGACCUGAGUUUUUAUUUACUUAAAUGUUUGAUUAUAUUAUGUUCAAUUUAAUUUGCUCAUGGAACCUUCGAUGUAGAGUUAGAGCUGCAUGUUUUGUACUGAAAUUCUAUCAGCUGUUAAUUCUAUCAGCUGCUAAUUCAAAACUCACCUAAUCUUGACUGAAUGAAUUGUUUGGUUUGCGUCAUCUAUUCGAUCUGAUUCCAUUACGUCUAUGUGAAGAACAAGACAAAACCAGGUUCCUUUUGUUCUGCUUUGCCAAGUGUGUUAUUGCAAAAAAAGAUUGCUGUCAUAGAGGCCGACAUUUAUCUUGGGUAACAUUUGAUGGGAAUGGGGGCAAUGCGAUUAAGAAUUCUCCAAGGGCAUCCCUGUGUCUCUCGCCACCGUCACUGUUGUCCGAAUGUCACUGUUGAUCGUGUCGUAUGGGUGCCAUCUUGUGGUGGAUAUGUG
ensembl:lncRNA